rnacentral:lncRNA from 1 species
GAGGCUUUCUCCUGCUUAGCUAAAACCUGAGGGCCGCCCUUGUAGGUUGCCUGACGUGGCUGCUGUUUUCUGCUGCCCCAGUGGUUGGCGUAAACACCCAGGGCCGGUGGGGAGCCCAGCAGGUGUCACCUGUGGGCCUUGAGAAGUUCGCAGUGGCCUUGGCACAAGUGUCUACAGCGCCAUCUCCAGGAAAAUGUAAUCCCGCUCCUGGCUUCUGUCAUCCUUCCACUUGGUUUCCUGCCAUCCCAUGACCAGACAAUUGGGAAAUUGCUGGCUGUUGCCAUAAAAUGUUAUCUGAAGUGAAUACCAGGAUAAACCAUGUUCUCCAGUCCACCUUAUGUGAGAAGUUUGCUUCCUGCUGACAAGCACGCAGAGAGGAAUUUUUUCAGUUAACUCAACCAACCUGCCUGCCUAGAAUUUGCAUUUCCCUGG